UGCAGUCGAACGAGAAUACACUUCGGUGUAGAGUAUAGUGGCGGACGGGUGAGUAACGCGUAGGGAGUUACCCAGUAGUGGGGAAUAACCAUUGGAAACGAUGGCUAAUACCGCAUACGCCCUUCGGGGGAAAGAUUUAUUGCUAUUGGAAACGCCUGCGUUAGAUUAGCUAGUUGGUAGGGUAAGAGCCUACCAAGGCAACGAUCUAUAGCUGGUUUGAGAGGAUGAUCAGCCACACCGGAACUGAGACACGGUCCGGACUCCUACGGGAGGCAGCAGUCGGGAAUAUUGCACAAUGGGGGAAACCCUGAUGCAGCCAUACCGCGUGAGUGAUGAAGGCCCUUGGGUUGUAAAGCUCUUUCACUAAUGAGGAUGAUGACGUUAAUUAGAGAAGAAGUCCCGGCUAACUUCGUGCCAGCAGCCGCGGUAAAUACGAAGGGGACUAGCGUUGUUCGGGAUUUACUGGGGCGUAAAGCGUG
rnacentral:rRNA from 1 species